GAAGAAGCUGAAAGUUUUUUGACACUGAAGACAAUUGGUCAUUUCAUGGGUUACGUUUUGAGUAUGAGAACUGUUAAAAUGUUCAAAAAAUAUAAAACAUCAUAUGUUUAUCUUAGAAAACAUAAUAAUGAAGAAAAACUUAAUUCUAUUGGAGAAAAUCUACAUUUAAAUAAUUUUAAUUCACAUUUUCGAGAUGAUAAAAUGUUCAUAUGCAUUUUAGAAAAGUUAAAAUCUAACUUUAGUCCACUUUGUAUUAAAAAAGGUGAAUUUAUAUCAUCUAAAAACUUAAAAUUUACCGGCUAUCAACAAUGUUAUAUAUUCGUUUUAUCAGAUUCAUUUUACGGCAGUAGCCUUGGCUACUAUUAUAAACCAGGUUUGAUUAUGACCACAUAUCAUACUUUAGAUAAAUAUGAUAAUUUUAGUAUAUUUGUUAUUUUUCCAAACGAUGAUUUUUAUUUGAUGUAUUCAGCAGAAUGUCUAGAGACUUAUCAAAAGUAUGAUUUGGCUAAAAUUAAACUACAUGGCAGCCUUGAUCCUCUGAAAGAUAUGAAAAUAACAAAAAUGUGUUCUGAAAAUGACACUGAAGACAUUAAAUAUUUUUACACACAAAAGUCAGGAAAGUUAGUAAAGAAAGAAUGCAAAAUUAUUAAGAAACCCCUUCCAUGUUUGAAGAAGAAUAUGCGAGAAAAUGAAUUGUUAAUUUCUAAAGUAGGUACUUUUGGAGACAGUGGAGGCCCUGUUUUUACAAGUACUGGUGUUUUGGGAUUAUACCAUGGGGUGUUUAAAACUAGACUAGAUUUCAAAUAUGGUCGGAUUUUAAAAAUUCAUGAAUCAUUUCUAUAAUUACAUUUAUUUUUAUUUAAAAUGUAAUUGUUUUCAAAACUUAAUUAAAAUGUGUCACUCAAGGCAUUGUAAUGUUAAAUAUGUAUCUUUAUCAAUAACAAACUUAUUUAUUAAAACAAAUGUAUGGCAAUUUUUAUUAAAAAAAUGUAAAGCACAUUUUAUAACAAAAUUUAUAGCAAAUUUUAUACAUUAAAAAAAAAAAAAAAGAUGAUAGCAAAAAAGUACCAAAAAGUACCAGUUCUAGCUUGGAUGGCGCCCUGGCCGAAACCUGCUUUAGCAAUCUCCCUCAACCCCCCACCCCCACAAAAAAGGUGAAUUUAUAUCAUCUACAAACUUAAAAUUUACUUGCUAUCAAAAUUGUUAUAUAUUAAUUGUAUCAGAUAAAGGAUGCAGCAGCAGCCUUGGUUACUAUUAUAAACCAUACCAUUUAUUGACCACAAAUCAUACAUUAGAGGAA